rnacentral:rRNA from 1 species
GAUGAACGCUGGCGGCGUGCCUAAUACAUGCAAGUCGAGCGAACAGACGAGGAGCUUGCUCCUCUGACGUUAGCGGCGGACGGGUGAGUAACACGUGGAUAACCUACCUAUAAGACUGGGAUAACUUCGGGAAACCGGAGCUAAUACCGGAUAAUAUAUUGAACCGCAUGGUUCAAUAGUGAAAGACGGUUUUGCUGUCACUUAUAGAUGGAUCCGCGCCGCAUUAGCUAGUUGGUAAGGUAACGGCUUACCAAGGCAACGAUGCGUAGCCGACCUGAGAGGGUGAUCGGCCACACUGGAACUGAGACACGGUCCAGACUCCUACGGGAGGCAGCAGUAGGGAAUCUUCCGCUAUGGGCGAAAGCCUGACGGAGCAACGCCGCGUGAGUGAUGAAGGUCUUCGGAUCGUAAAACUCUGUUAUUAGGGAAGAACAAAUGUGUAAGUAACUAUGCACGUCUUGACGGUACCUAAUCAGAAAGCCACGGCUAACUACGUG